rnacentral:rRNA from 1 species
CCUUUGGAUUACAAUUUCGGUUGGAAGAACGGAUAUGGGCCUGGAAGUUGGUUUAUGGAAGGUGGAUUUGUGAGUAAUAUUUACUAUAAAAUUGUUGAGUGAAAAGUGGAAUAACAUGUGUACAUAUUGCCCGUCGCUCUCUUAGUUUUUGAGAUAAGUCGUAACAUAGUUGGUGCACUGGAAAGUGUAUCUUUUUGU